GAUUUAUUACAUAUGGAAUGCUGAAAUUUUAAUAACUUGUAAAGUGAGAACACAAGCAAUAAGUCAUUUUACAAAUUGUAACAAAGAACAAUGUAGCACAUAACUUCACAGCAUGUAAUUGAGAUGAAAAUUCAUCAAACCUUUGUUAAAUGAAACUAUUAAUCUAUUUGGGAAUAAAAGUAAGUAUUAACUUGGGCCGUUGUUUAGAGACUAUCUUGAUGGCCCGCCUUCUGAUUUUGCUGUCUCUUUCUACACAGAAUGUUCAAAAAGCAGGUCAUGACGAAUCAUUGUCAAUGUAUUCAUCCUGGCAUUUACAGAAACCCCGAUUUUGCUUGAUAUCACCUUGUUGGAGA